rnacentral:lncRNA from 1 species
AAAAGAUCUUUACCAAUCCUACAACAGAUAGAGGCCUUAUAUCCAAAAUAUACAAAGAACUCAAGAAGUUAGACCGCAGGGAAACAAAUAACCCUAUUAAAAAAUGGGGUUCAGAGCUAAACAAAAAAUUCACAGCUGAGGAAUGCCGAAUGGCUGAGAAACACCUAAAGAAAUGUUCAACAUCUUUAGUCAUAAGGGAAAUGCAAAUCAAAACAACCCUGAGAUUUCACCUCACACCAGUGAGAAUGGCUAAGAUCAAAAACUCAGGGGACAACAGAUGCUGGCGAGGAUGUGGAGGAAGAGGAACACUCCUCCAUUGUUGGUGGGAUUGCAAACUGGUACAACCAUUCUGGAAAUCAGUCUGGAGAAUCCUCAGAAAAUUGGACAUUGAACUGCCUGAGGAUCCAGCUAUACCUCUCUUGGGCAUAUACCCAAAAGAUGCCUCAACAUAUAAAAGAGACACGUGCUCCACUAUGUUCAUUGCAGCCUUAUUUAGAAUAGCCAGAAGCUGGAAAGAACCCAGAUGCCCUUCAACAGAGGAAUGGAUACAGAAAAUAUGGUACAUCUACACAAUGGAAUAUUACUCAGCUAUCAAAAACAACUUUAUG